rnacentral:rRNA from 1 species
GAUGAACGCUGGCGGCGUGCCUAAUACAUGCAAGUCGAGCGAACAGACGAGGAGCUUGCUCCUCUGACGUUAGCGGCGGACGGGUGAGUAACACGUGGAUAACCUACCUAUAAGACUGGGAUAACUUCGGGAAACCGGAGCUAAUACCGGAUAACAUGUUGAACCGCAUGGUUCAACAGUGAAAGACGGUUUUGCUGUCACUUAUAGAUGGAUCCGCGCCGCAUUAGCUAGUUGGUAAGGUAACGGCUUACCAAGGCAACGAUGCGUAGCCGACCUGAGAGGGUGAUCGGCCACACCGGAACUGAGACACGGUCCAGACUCCUACGGGAGGCAGCAGUAGGGAAUCUUCCGCAAUGGGCGAAAGCCUGACGGAGCAACGCCGCGUGAGUGAAGAAGGUCUUCGGAUCGUAAAACUCUGUUAUUAGGGAAGAACAAAUGUGUAAGUAACUAUGCACGUCUUGACGGUACCUAAUCAGAAAGCCACGGCUAACUACGUG